rnacentral:rRNA from 1 species
CAACGCCGCGUGAGGACGACGCCUCGGUUGUAAGCCUCUUUAGUAGGAAGAAGCGAAGUGACGGUACCUGCAGAAAAAGCACCGGCUAACUACGUGC